rnacentral:lncRNA from 1 species
CUCCGCCACCUCCCUCUCCCGUGCACGCUGCCUCUCGCGGCGGUGCGGCGCGCGCCUCCGACUCCGGAGUGCACGUGCGGGCUGGAGGCGCGGAUACAAGCACCCAGCGCUGGUCGCAUGCAGGAGCUGCCGGCGGGGGAAGGAGACGACGUGGGGCCGGCGCGGACUGUGCUGACCGGGCGUCGCUACGCGUGGGCCGAGAGGGUCCAGCUCCGGCGUCCGCGAUGCGCUGGCGCGGGAGGUGUUGCGACGCUCCAGUCCCGUUGGUUAAAUUUAUGGUCAAAGUUGGCCCUAGGAAAGCGCGUGCGCAUUAUAUUUUGGAAUGGAGGGAGUAUGUCAUUGAAAUAAGAUAAAUUACAUUAGAAAAUAGUGACGCAAAAUGGAUGUAUCAGGACGAGCGAUGACGGCAGUGCGUCUUCGGCUCAUUCUGGUGCUUGUAUUCGUCAUUUGGUGGUCAAUGAAUAUAGAUGUAAUUUUUGUUACUUCUGGUGUUCUUUAUGCUGUGAUGUUUGAUGAAUAUAUUGCAAGUUUUUGCCAAAAAAAAUCCCCUUUGGAAGAAACAUAAUCACUCAGGCCAAUUAGACCAGAAGAGCGUGGAGCUAUAAGGGAGAUAUCCCCUUUGGAUUGUUGUGUUGCGAUAGGGAGUCUUCCACACAUAUAUAAAGGUGGAGAGGGAAGGGACCAAUAGAAGAAGUCCUUCUUCUCUUCCACUUUGUGGAAGGAGGGAAGGACCCCCUCCCUAAUAGGAUUCGGCCUAGGCCUUCAUUAGGGAGGUGGCACCCCAUAAGGGCCCCGCUCGGCCAACUACGGGUGGUUAUCUUAUAACAGUUCUCCACAACUUUCUUUCACAAAUAAAAUGUUAGAUUUUUCGGAUGUCUUUGGAACCCAUUCUGAGACCCCCCAAAACUUUUCAUAUACAGAUAUGGACUUUCCAAAAUCAUGUUACACCUUUUGACAUUUUAGCAAAUUUUUUAUAAAUUCAAAUCAAUCUUUAGAAUAUUGGUUCUGAAUUGGGUUCCUAUCUUCAUCCCGCUCCCCUUGUUAGAUAUCUAAACCCUAACACUAGCCAUCCACCUAUUUCUCAAACGCACCGCCAAGCAGCGCUAACCCUCUAUCCUUAUUGCCCACAUUUCUCGACCCUCCACCAUAGUCGUAGAUGUCAUUUCCUUGUCUCCACAUGUCUAAUUAUGCUAUCUCCACCAUCUCCCACCACUCACCUAAUUCGCCGCAGACCCCCUUGGACGCAACCCAUAUAUGUUAUUCAAAUUAUAAUAUAUGCAAUUAAUUUCAAUUUACUGGUGAUAGCCUAUAUAGCUUAAGCCUGAAUUCGGUUCUUAUCUCCCUUUCGCUAGACCUAUGGACCUUAACCUAGCCAGUCUAUCGCCAGAUGCGCUGUUAGAAAUGGUCACCUUCUUCACCCCCUCAUGAAUGCAAUUAAAUGCCUUCCAUAUAGUCUUGUGUAUGAAUUUAGGUAACCAACUUUUUCCAACCAAGUAAAUUUUCUAUAAAUUCAAAUAUUUAUAUCUAAAUCGUGUUCCUAUCUUCACCCCGCUUCCCUGGUUAGAUCCCUAAACCAUAAACUAGCCCAUCCACCUAUUUCUCAAACGCGUCGCCAAGUGGCACUCGCCAUCUAUCCUUCUUGCCCUAAUGUUUCGCCCCUCUACCAUAGUUGUAGAUGUCAUUUCCUUGCCUCUCAUGCCUCCAAGCGUCUGCUUAAGCUAUCUCCACCAUAUCCCACCACUCACCUAAGUCGCCGCAAACCCCCUUAUUAUUCAGAUUCUAAUCUACGUAGUUCAUUUCAUUUUAUUAGAGAUAACUUAGCUUAAACCUGAAUAUGGUUCGUAUCUCGCUUUUACUAGACCUCUAAACCUUAAACCUAGCCAGCCUAUCGCCACACGCACCGCUAGGAAACGGACACCUUCUUUCUCCCCUCAUGAAUGCAAUUCAAUGGCCUUCCGUAUAGUCGUUUGUGUGAAUUUGGGCAAUAAACCUUUUGCCAGCCGAGCAAACUUUCUAUAAACUCAAAUCAAUCUUUGGACCGUUGGAUCUGAAUCGGGCUCUAUCUUCACCCCACUUCCCAGUUGUCUAGAUCUCUAAACCCUAGCAGUAGCCAAUCCACCAAUUUCUAAAUCGCACCACCAGGCCCAUCCACCCAUUUCUCGAAUGCGACGACAAGCGGCGCUCGCCCUCUUUACCUUUUGCGCUCGUUUCUCGCCCCUCCACCAUAGUCGUAGUCUCGUAGAUGUCAUCUCCUUGUCGCUAAUGUCUCCACGUGUCUGAUUAUGCCAUCUCCCACCGCUCACCUAAGUCGCCGCGAACCCCCUUGGUCGCAGCCCAAAUAUCCUGUUCAAAUUCUAAUCUAUGUAUUUAAUUUGAAGCAUUGAUAUGCAAUACUACGGACAGUUUUUUCUUCUUGUUGAACAACUGAUCCAACAGUUUGAGCAAAAAGCUAAACUGAACAAAAGAAGGGGAACAGAAAAAAAGGAUGAAGAAAAUAAAGCCAAGAAAAGUCGACCCUACUCUAAAACUAUUCCUCCCGCAUCACGAAAAGUUGACGCAGACGCUGCCGUUCUUGGCGCAUCCGCACGACGGGCACGCCUGCGCCGAUGCCGCGCACGGCGCGCACACGCAGAGGUGCCGGCACGGCAGCAGCAGCACGACGGCCGCGCCCUCGCCGCACCCCUUGCACCUUCCGACUCCCGUCGUGGCCGGCGUGCCCACCUCGGCCUCCUCCUCCGCGCAGACGGGCACCUGGUUCUCCCCCCAGCAGCACGACUCGGCGUCGUCCUGACCGUCGCCGUCGCCACCGGCACCGCCGCGGACCGCCUGCGCGUCGAGCACCCGCUGCAGGUCGGCGCGGAGCACGCUGGCCGCGGCCUCGUGGGACUGCGCGACGUCGCGCCACAUCUGAGCCUCCAUGUAGAGGCUCCUGAGGCGCUCCUCCAGCGCCCAGUUCAUGCCCCGGACCCGCUCGAUCUCCUCGUCCUUGGCCUUGAGCCGCUUCGCCGCCCUGGCCUCCACGGUGGACACGAUCAACCGCAGGUGGCUCCGCCUCUGCUCCGCCAGAGCAGCCCACAUCUUUCUCGCCUGCAUCAUGCAUCCACCACCGUUAACAACAAACAAAGGCCAGAAAAUCCUGAUCAAACGCGGCGAUUAAUUUGGUCACGGGACUUACAUGUCUGUGCAGGAUGUGGUCGACGGCGACGGCCUGCUGUUGCGCGUGGGCCGCAAGAACUUCGCCGAGCACCGACGAGGACGCCCCCUCGUCGACGCGCCUCCGCUUGUUGCCGGAGGUCAUUUCCUGGGCGCCGUCGCCCUUCCUCGCCAGAUCAGCCGCGGCCAGCGCCAACAACUCCGAGUACUGAUCCGCGGCCGACAUCGUCGGCGGCGGCGUGAAGAUGUCUGCGUACGGCUGGCACCCAAGCUGCUGGCCCGUCACCGCGGCGCCGUAACAAGGCCCGCUCGCAGGCAUGGCGGCGGCCGAGGCGCCCGGCCGGUUGGCGAGCAGCAUGUGGCGCAGGCGUUGCAGGUCCACGGCCAUGGCUUGGCGAUGCAAAGGCCGGGGACGGGGCGCGCGCGCGGUCUGCUCCUGGCACUGGCAGGCCGCGGGGACGUGCCUCUAUAUAAACACAGGCAGCCAAGGCGAUGGCGAUGCGUCCCCGGAGUUAGUCAGAAGUGGGAGGUGAGGUCAUGGAUGGAUCGGCGAUGGAUGGAUGGGCAGCGUGGCCGGGGUGGCGAGGAAAGAAACAAGGAGGUCCGUCCCGCCCUCGGAUGGCAGGCAGCCGAGUAUUUAUGGUGCGUGACCGGGCGGGGUGGGUUUUGGUUGGCGUCCACGUUUGAUGGCCGGGCCUCGGCCUCGAGUGAGCAACAGACGAUGAGAUUGACCCCCGAUUAUCCUUCUCGUUUUCAGGGGCGAUUUCCUUUUAUUUAUGCCUUCCGUUUCAAUCAACCUCUCCCCCUUCAAUAAUUCGACUUAAUUCGGAGUGCUCUCCUAGCUAGAAACCAAGAAUAUAUAUAUAUAUAUUCGCCGCGUGUUACCUUAUACUACACAAGAGUCUGCAACCAACGCAUGCAUAUAUUCAUGCUGGCUUCUGUUUGCUGAUCUUGCAAAAGGAGACCAGAUCAUCGUCGUCGUCGUCGUCGUUUAAGUUAGCAUGUCGUGGCGCCAAAUCAGCAGGCGUCGUUGAGGCUGCUUUGAUCUGCUGCCGCACGAAUCUUGGGGUGUAAGGAAACCCACAACCGAACAACACAAAUUACCACGCGCUUCCCUCCCUCCGGACUUGGUAAAGCGCCGUGGUUAGCGGAGGGCAAUUCGGAGAAGAAGGAGAAGGAAACUGCAUGCAUGCAUGCGUUUUGGCGCGUACGUUCAUGCACGCCACUGCAUCUGCAUGCACGUACUUGAUGUGCUGAGAUAUAUAUUAGGCGUUUUUUUUGGCUGGCUAGCUGUAGACAGGUUUUUUUAGGGGGAAUAUAUAGGAAAAUAACAAGGGAGUAAAUUACAGCGUAGUAGAGGCAGAGACGGGGGCUCAAAAUUAGCAAGGAAGUGAAUGAGCUAGAGUAAUUGACUCUUGCCUGUAUACAUCGGUCCAAAUCCGGCCGAUCGAUCUGUACGUUUAAUUUGGACGGAAAGUACGUACGCACGACAGCUUUUGGUUUAAUUUGAUUUCCAAAAAAGAUCUCUACUGCCAGAAUUCUAGGGUACGUAGGUAUUAUCGUCUUCGUCGGUCGUCUUCAAUUGCGGGAUAUACAUGACCUUAAAAGCUGUCGGCACCAAAAUAGAACCGACCACCAGCCAUUCAAAUACAGUACAUGGCUUGUACAGGUGUUCAAAAAAAAACAUGGCUUGUACAGCUGUACAAAUACGACGCAGAUCAGCAUGCCAGCUCAUCACACAUCCACUGUACAAACACCCAAGAGUAUCUUUGGCAAAAAACAUUUAAAAAAGAAUAAUAAAAUAACAAACGGUCAAAACAUUACGCUGUGUUUGGCUGCUCAGUAUUUUUGGAGUUUUAGGAGAAUACCAUGGUUUUUGUAGAAACCUCAGUUUUAAAUACUUUGACGUGUUUGGCUUCGACAAAUACUUUAGUUUUACAAACCGUGGUAUAUCUAAAACCAUGGUUUUUUUGCUGUAUCUAAAAAAGAGGUCUCGACCUCUUUUUUGUAAACUGAGAAACGCUAGCUCAAGUCUAUCUUCUUCGGGUCCUCCUCACCCAUCAUUCCUCCAUCUCUUCUGCAGCCAGCAAAUCAAGAUUACCACAUGGGAAACUUUACUACUCUGCUUCAAUCGUUGACUAUUGUUCUAGUGCAACAGAAAGCAGCCCGUACAUUAGCUAGUACUAGACGUUCAAUCUUAUCAGAUGUGGUGUGUACAGAUACAAAAGAUUUAGCGAAGGCUUACACCCUGGAGUAGAUCAAUUGAUACUUGGAGUAAAGUUAUACACAUCCGGCUAAGCUAGCUAGCCGAUUGAUUCCAUGUGGCCAAAGAAACAAGAUUACUCAACAACAUAUCCUACUCCCUCUGUUCCUAAAUAUAAGUCUUUGUAGAGAUUUCACUAGAUGGACUACAUACGAAACAAAAUGAAUGAAUCUACACUAAAAAUGCAUCUAUAUACAUCCGUAUGUGGUUCAUAGUGGAAUCUCUACAAAAGACUUAUAUUUAGGAACGGAGGAAGUAGCAUCUAAAGGAUGUUCGCGUGCAUGAAAGGCUAUAGGCAUAUAUGCAGCGGCCAUUAAUUAGCACAAGCUGAUCAGGUCGUUGUAUAACUCCUUUGACGUAGCUCAAUUUGGUUCAGCUAGCUAUAUCUAGGAUCAUCCCCGCAACGAGUGGUCAAAACCGAGAAACUAAGAAAAACUGCACUUGCCAAACAUCUCUAUAGUUUUACUAAAACUGAGAAAAACCGCGGCUUUUAGAAACCAAAGUAUUCAUUGCCCACACAUUAGAAUACCGCGGUUUCCAGAUACCAUGGUUUUGAAAAAACCGUGUUGCCAAACUAGGCCUUAACUUUUUUUUUUUGCGGAAGGCCAAAACAACAUUAACGUACGCGCAUAUCUAUCUUUGGAGAGCAAUAGCGAACGACCGAACAAUCAGCGAACCGAAUCGCUAUAUGUAUCCGGAUAGCACUGAAAUUAAUCAGUCGAUUGCAGUUCUCGCUUUCCGUUCAUUAAUCUCUUAUUAUUCUUAUUACCAUAGACCAUUUUUAGGGAGAUCUCCAAUGGACGGACCUCUGUGCUGAGCACGCGGAUAAUUUCACGGAGACGUUUCGGCUUCUUUUCUUCUAGAAAAGAGAAAAGAAGAGGGACAAGACAGCUGAUGCACGCAGCGAGAGCGGGGAAAGAGAAGGAACGGAGCAGCUUUCAAGGAAACGCAUGCAUGCGGACGGGAGAGAUGAUCGGACGGCCGGGCGCCGCGCGAAUAGCUCCACGUGCAUCGCGGUGGCACUUGGUUCCGGCGCGACCGAUCGAUCUGGACAGACGCGCGGCCGGCGACGUGGCACUUGCCAUGUCACGCGCUUGGGGCCGGUACUGUUAGACUUCUUCAAACGCUCGGGGGAACGGCUCCGUAACUUGGUAAAAAACCUGACACAGACGGGGCAUCUCAAACUGACCUCAAACAUCUAGGCUCGCCGGCACCCCUCAUAUCUAGUCUACAUAUAGAACAAGGUUUUUGAGUCGCGACUUGGCGAGUCGCCGCGAGCCCUGCGGCUCAGCGUAUAGUCGACGAAAGUCGCUGUAUAGUCGCCAUAAGUCGCUGUAUAGUCGCCAUAAGCCGCUGUAUAGUCGCGAGUUGCCCUGAUUUUUGGAAAACGACUUGACGAUUAGUCGGCGACUAUACAGUGACUAAUCAGCGACUCAAAAACCAUGAUAUAGAGUAAAUACAGGUUAGGCCAGACGCGCUCGGGCGCGUCCGGCCGCAAGGUUGGACCUGGCCCACACUUGUCCACCCGAUCUCACAUAUAUUAGACCCCAUCCGUUUCCCGAACCAAACGCUAGCCACUCCACUCCGCCACCAAGGUCCCAUCCGGUGAUCUCCGGCCUGGGUCAGAUUUAAUGUCACACCUCCACACGCCCACCGUCGACGCUAGGCACACCGCCGGAAGAGGGCUAGGCAGGGAACCUUAUUCCACCUUCAAGAAGCCGCCGCCGUCUAGCCUUCCUGAGCAUGAUACAAACCCUAUAAAAACUCAAAAAAAGAAGAAAAAAAAAACAGAGCCCUCCCGUCAGCAAGGGCCGGGAUCCAUCGUGCCGCGAUGGCCCUAAGGUCAUCAAAGACGAGGCGAACCGGCCCGGGAGGCAGAGGAACCCUAUAGGGUUUUCAUACGAUUGGAUAUUGUUUUCUCAAUAAAAAAGAAUUCACCCACUUAAAUGCUCAUCCUGCUACAGUUCUUUGUUUUCUCAACGGUGUCAAGCAAUGUUUGAUGCAAAUUCCUGUUGUUUACGCUUAAUUAACAGAGAGAAACCUAAGGCAAGAUGACACCACUCACGUGUGUGUUAUCACAAGCUGACAAGUAUACGAACGUCGAGGCGGCUAACUCCACCAUGACUUCUUUCUUUUCUUUCGCGAUGGAACUCUAGUCUAGUCUAGUCUAGGAUAUGUGAGGCUUGGAGAGUUCACCUCAUCUGCACAACCCCUCCUUGGACCGUUCCGGCGCAUCAAACUCAGCGCUGCUUGUUCCCUAGUUUAAUUUAGUUUCUCAUCUGCAGAACCGAGUCAGAUCUGACCAAGUUUUGGCACUGAUCGAUCGAGCUGGAUAAUGGGGGUUAAUCUAUGCAGCGACUAGAUAAGCUGCGUACGUACUCCUCAAUCAAUCCAUAGUACAUAUACAUCAUCUAUUGGCAUGACAUUUCAACACAUCAACAUACAAAAUGAGAGCAUCAACAAGCUGAUGCUCUCAUUUUAUAUGCAUGGACGCCUUGGUUUGGAUACAUGGUGUUUAAAUAUACAUGCACGAUUGAGCUGAGAUUUAGUCUUGUUUUGGAACAAGGGAACCAGCUUGUAUUAGCUGAUGCCAGCAACGAUGUCACAUCAAGCAAAUUUUUUACAUGGCAAUUGACAUGUAUUAUUCCCGCUUCCAUUUGUUUAAAUCGCACGUUAGCUCGAGAAAUAGAAAUGGUUUGGUGGCUAAAAUUCAGUACACCUGCUUCGGCAUUGGGACAGCUUAGCUCAGAGACGUGUAGGCCAGCUAGAAGUUUUCAUUCAUUCACACAGGACCAUUCGUGAUGCCGACUUCUAAAAUGAUGCCACUCCUCCCUCGUUUGUUUUCCGAGCUAGUUAUGAUGUGCUGCCCCUCAACUGUCACCUCAGACGAUUUGGAAAUAGGUAGAUAGUUAUCAACACCGAAUACAAUUAAUUAACUACUAACAUAAUGAUUCUACAGGAAAAAAAAUGAUUUGAACUGCACAUACAAGAUCAUCCAAUUAAGAGCGUCCCUUUCACAGUCCAUUCUGAUUUUCCUUUCGGGCAGAGUGGUUAGCACACCUGGUGUCAUAUCGGUUGGCUUCCAUUUUCAUGCCAAUAGCCAUACACAUCAACAAAUUGGCACCAAUAAGUGCGUGUAAUUUACCUCCGCCUUCCUUUGCUGAAGUGGAGAUGUUGUCGACUAAGCUAAAUACUAUAUCAGCAUGUCAUUAUCAUCAACAAAUAUAUCACCAUGUCAAUAUCAUCAACAAAUGAGCAUACGGUAUUGCCACGCGAUACGUAUUAAUAUAUACAUGGACGUCCUCAAGAUUAUUUCAUAUAUACAUGGACGUCCGGGUUUGGAUACAUGAUGUUUAAAAAAAACUUAUGCAUGUUUGACUUGAGAUUUAGUCCUGUUUUGGAAAAGGGGAACCAGCUAGGCAGAUACCAGCAAAGCAGCAACCAUAUCAUAUCAAGCUUUAUUUACAUGGCCAUUGAUUUCUAUUUUCUCUCUUCCAUUUGGAUGUUUAAAAAUGAUUUGGUGGCUAAAAUUCAGCACACCUGCUUCGGUAUUGGGACAACUUAGCUUAGAGAAUUGUAGGCUUGAAGUUUUCAGUCAUACAUGACCUUUUCUUAAAAGGGAUACAAGACCAUCUUGUUAUGUCGACACCUAAGAUGAUGGUACCUCCUCCCUCGUUUUUUUUUUGAAUUUUGAGUAAUGAUGCGGUACCGCUCAACUGCCACCAUGGACGAUUUGGAAAUACAUAGUUAUCAACACCGAAUACAAUUAAUUAAGUACUAAACAUGAUUCAAUAGAUUUUUUUAUUCGAACUACACGUAUAAGAUCGUCCAAUUAAGAACGCCCCUUUCGCAAUCCUUCCUAGUUUCCUUUCACACAGAGUGGUUAGCAUACCUGGUGUCAUAUCGGUUGGGUCCAUUUUCAUACCACCAAGAGCCAUACGCAUCCACAACUAGGUAGCAAUAAGUGCGUGCAUUUUAUCUCUAGCUCCCUUUGCCAAAAUGGAAAUGUUGUCGACUAAACUAAAUAUUAGAUCAACAUGUCAAUAUCAUCGACAUGUAGAAGAUAGACACCGAUUUGACACCCGGGGGCCACAUGAUAUUGCCACGCAGUAUGAAUACCCGGAUGCAUUCCGUCAUUUUCCCGGUUGCCUUUCGGGCUCCUCUAGGUGUCACAGUUGUGAGAAACCACAAGGUCCAUGCACAUUUGUCCCAUUCAGCACAGACGCUUGUGAUUCACCGCCCCCCUUUAAUCGCACAACUGGGAAAAAGAUAACUGAGAUAUGGUUAACCGUCAGCCAUCACCCAAUCGAUGUGUGUGUGUGUGUGUGUGUGUGGUCACUCAUGGUAGCACGACCUUUUCUUUUCGCGUGUCCACUUCUCCCCCAUCAACCUCAUUAGAGCGAUUCCUCCAUUUAUCUGAAGUUGUAGCAAAAUAAAUUAAAAGGCGGGGGAGGCAUAAAGGAGCCAGUGCUAACUGCUACUGAAAAGGCUCUUGUCCAUCCCAAGAUUUUUUAGCGGUCAUACAUGUCGUUUGGUGGUUGCUUGGAUGUAUCGGUUAGCUGCUAAAAUGAUGGCAUCUCCUCCCUUGUUUGUUUUACGACUUCCGAGUGAUGAUGCGGUGCCCCUCAGCUAUCACCUCGGAAAAUUUGGAGAUAGAUAGUUAUCAACACCAAAUACAAUCAAUCAUUAAGAAAAAUGAAACCUUUUCUCUUCAAGUUUUCCUUCUUUCAAUGGAAAAUACUACAAGAUCACCCAAUUAAGAGCAUUCCUUUCAUAGUCCUUUGUGGUCUUCCUUUCAGGCAGAGUGGUUAGCACACCUGAUGUCAUAUCAGUUGGCUUCCAUUUUCAUACCAAUAGCUAGUAUAAUGCAUCAACAAAUAGCACUCAUAAGUGUGUGUGUUUUUUCUUCAGACAAACAGGAGGCCACCACGCGGCCUCCCCGCUCCAUUACUCAGAAUGAAAUAGGACACAGAACAGUCACAUCAUCUAAGCGCUAAAAUGAAAGGUUUUUUUUUUACUGCAACGAAAUUAAACAAGCCAUUUCUACCUCACAAAUGAGGGCUAGAAGUUUACUUUCAUGCUCCUUCCAUGGUCCUUUCUAAUUUUCCUUUCGCGCAGAGUGGUUAGCAGGUGUCGUAUUGGCUAACUUUCAUUUUUCAUACCAAUAGCCAUAUGCAUCAACAAAUAUGCAUCAAUAAGUGAGUCUGUAUUAUCUCCAACUUCCUUUGCCGAAGUGGAAAUGUUGUCGACUAAAUUAAAUAUAUUAGCAUGUCAAUAUCAUCAACAAAUACACCAGCAUGUCAAUAUCAUCAACAAAUGAGCACACGGUAUUACCACGCAAUACUUAUACCCGGAUGCAUGUCGUCAUUUUCCUGGUUGCCUUUCGGGCUCCUCUAGGUGUCACGGUUGUGAGAGACCACAAGGUCCAUGCACAUUUGUCCCGAUGCUUGUGAUUCGCCGACCCCUUUAAUCGCACAAGCAAAAAGAUAACCGAGAUAUGGUUAACCGCCAGCUGUCACCCUAUCGCUAUGUACGUGCGUGUGUCCACAAUCACUCAUGGUAGCAAGACUUUUUCUUCGCGCGUGUCCACUUCUCGCCAGUCAACCUCAUAGCGUGAUUCCUCCACUUAUCUGGAGUGGUAGCGAAAUAAAUUAGAAGGCUGGGGAGGCAUAAAGGAGCCAGUGCUAACUGCUACUGAAAAGGCUCUUGUCCCUCUCAAGAUUUUUCAGUGGUCAUACGUGUGGUUUGCUGGUUGGUUGGAUGCAUGGGUUAGCUGCCAAAGCUUGGUUAUUCUAGCUUAGUGUGCAAUUGGCUUUGUGGAUUCGGCCAUAUGUAGAUAGAAAAGAGAAGGUGGAGAGAAGUUGGCCUCAGUUAAGUAUGCAAAAUCUUUAGACGCAGCCUGUUUGUAAGCAAAUGGCGUUUUAGACAAGGACACUCCUCUUAAAAUACAUCUUUGGCCAGCAAAAAAAAGUUAUAGAAAUGUUUUCCAUGAAAAAUCCAAUUAUAUGUUUUCACUUUACGAAUCCAAACUUUUAUAUGUUAUUAGUUAAAGUUAGAAAAAGUUUGGCUGAAUGUUUUCGAGGAAGCCAUCAUCUAUUUAGGAACAGAGGAAGCACAAUUCAACACCUGUCAUCGCAUACUCAUUUUUAUCAGGCGUGACUUUUUUCAGAGGGAGAGGUUUGCAUGGAAAAUGAGACGAUUAGUUACGCCAUUCGACCAGACAAGCCAGUUGAAAACUAAGCGGUUGCAGGUGAAUGGCAUUUCACAAAGCGAAAAUUCACCAAACAUUGGCACCAAUCUUGUUUUUUCUUUCCAACAAGCGUCACAUCUAAACCUAAUGCAAUUAGAAGGGCCCAUUUCCUAUCUUCAGUCGAAAGGUGAAUGUAUGGGUGAAAGGAAAGGAAAGAGACAGGAACAUCGUUGGACAAUAGAAAAGGUUGAUGGGAGGAAUUUUUGCUCCACGAAAGCAAGCGAUAUCUUUUGUUCCUACUAGCUAGUUCCUACUUGAACUUGAUCGAGCCUUUGGUUUAGUGCUGCACAAAUGGCAUACGAGCUACUACUAGCUUCUACUACACCCCCACACGGAACCAACAUGGCAAAGAUGGCAAAGAUUUGUUCUCCUGGCUGUAUAUAUGCUACGCGCUAACUAGCCUUUUUGGAUCUACUGAUCGAGCUAGUAGCUAGCGUUGGUGCAUGCACGGGAGGCUAUAGAAAGCUAGGGAUUAUCCCAAAGUUUUAUAUAUCAGCCAUGCGCUCAAUGUGACAGAAGCAGAUCAGCCUGCUUUGUGAUUGUGAUUUGUGAGAGCACGGUCAUGAACAAACACCACGGCACUCACCCUAUAUAUCCACCUUUAAUUUUCCAUUGCUGACUGAGAUGCACAUACAUGGGAUGGUGGGCUAGCUAGUACCAGUGACCAGUAUUGCUCUCCACAAUAGCAAAAAUGUCUCAGUGCCAUGUGUUUUCUUUCUUUUGUGUACAGUGUCUUAAUGCCCUGUGACUAUGAAGUAAUUUUAUUUUCUUUGAGAAAAUGAAUUCUGAAGUAGCCCCAAUGGAAUGAAGGUUAUACCCCCCCAAAAAAGCUUGUGCUACAAGAUUAUCGUAGUUAUCAUGUCAUCAUCAAUCAUUUCGAUGCGAAGAAGACCGUACGGCCACGCGGCAGCAUCCAUCAAUCAAUCGUUGUAGCUAGUGUCCCCAUUGCCUCCACUUUGAUUUGCCAACGGAAUCGCUUCUGCUUUCCUGCAUUUGCCAUGGAAAAUGGGACAAGGAAUCGGGAUAACGAAAGAACGAGAGAAAGAGGCGAACAAUUAAAGGAAACCAGAGAGGCUGAGACUAAAAGCCAUUGCCGAUCUCCCACCCAGCAUGUGUAGAUAAUAGAUCGUAGCCUAGCAGACACGCAGUAGCACAGUACGCAGUCCUCAACUCACAAAAUUCCGUGGCUCCAUUAUUGUUCCCAUCGACCCUAGCCGUAUUAUCUAUCCGCUCGCCCCCACUCCGAUGAUCCAGUGCCAAGAAAAGGAAGAAAACUCAUCACGAUAACCUAAUCAAUGGAGGACGACGACGCGAGAAGGUUGAACAAGAACGACUAGGAAAUGCAUGUUGGGAAAAGGGAGGAACAAAGAGAGGUUAUAAACAAAAGAGAGCUAUACAAGCAGCAGAUCUGACUCGGCCGGGCGGGAAAGUGGUUGUGGAGAUCACCCCAUGGAUUCCUGCACUAGAGCUCCCUCGCAAAAGCCAAGAAUGAUAAUCACAGAAACAAUACUGAUGUACUACGGGUGUCCCUUUAUUAUUUGUGCCCGUGCAUGCUCUCCACGUCAAGGGGUUCUCGGCGAUUUGGCAUCAUCAGACCAAAACAUAUUCUUGUCCCGAUCAUGCUCGCUCUCGCUCACACGCCACCUUUCUUUCUUUCUUUCUUUUCGAAAGGCUCACACACAACACCUCCUUGAAAGGUGAAAAGAAACUUGUGAGAUCGAGUUGGCUGGCCACGAUGUCAUCGUACAUCAAUCUAUCUAUCUAUCUGCAGUCCUGUUGCACCGCUGGUCCCGUCCUAACGCACAGCACGGGGAUGGAUAGGUAGUAGAUAUAACUGAGAACGAGAUGCCAUCCGUCCAUGUGGGCGUGAUGGGAAGGUCCUACUAGAUAUAACUGAGAACGAGAUGCUUUGCCUGUGCCGUCCAUCGCAAAAGCCAAAAGGGAGGUCAGCUCUGUGCCGUGGUGGUGCCGAAAGGAGCUAGCUAGCUAGGUCGGGGCCUGGGCAGUCCCUUGGCGUCAGUCAGGCUCGCUCGGACGGAUCACAACACCAAGGGCAGUCAACAAACCUGUUUGUACAAAAUUAUCCUAGCACUAGAUGCUGCUGAGAUGAUGCAUCCUGUGUAGUACGUGCUCAUGCCGAUGCUGCGAGUCAGCACGACGUUGACCCAACUUCCGUUCUCCGUUUUGUGCCCCGCGCCACAAAAUUGACCCGGAGAUGAAUGAAUGCCAUCUCUGGUCGACAGUCCCAAUGGCCAGUAAUUUUGACAGGAGCGCAUGAAAAGAACGUGAGGCAGUAAAGAAUGUGAGGGACCAAACGCAUGGCAGGCAACAAACUCCAAACACAUACAGCUCCUAGAAGCAGGCCGGCUCCGGGUUGCGAUGAUGAGCUAAACGUGGAACGAUCCAUUCCCCUCUCCAGAUGCUCGUGCUCAGUCCCAUUGAUCCACAUGGAACAAAACUAGAAUAACCUCCCUUGGAUACGUCUCGUCUUUACCCGGUGACAUGCUACACAUAAAGAAAGAUCAUGGAGACACACAAACAAACAACCAAAGAAACUGGAUGCAGAUCGAGGGACAGGCCCCCUCAAUAGCAUGCCAGGAUUGCGAAAUCUUUUUAUUUUCUCGAGGGAAAACCAAGAUUGCGAAAUCUGAACCAACCAAAUCACACCAUGGCUAGCAUCAUCAGUGCACGCCUACACGCACACAUUGCUUUCUUCGGAUGAGACAAGCAUAAAAAUGGCCUGCUGCUAGGGUCAGUAGUAGAGGCCAUGUACGUAUGACGCGCGACGCUGAUGGACAGAUAGAUGGUCCAAAUGUUUGUCCGGGGCGACGGAGACGGCCGAUCCGAGCGGCUCCUGGUGUUCAAAUCAGGAUUUCUUUGCUUAGUGCUAAGCGCCAAUUUGUUCAUUCAAGCGAUCGAAAGAGAUUUGUUUCACGACGUAAAUGGGGUGCUUUGUCGGACCCCUAAUGGAUAGGCACCCAAGAGAAUUGCGACGUUCGACCAGCAAAGGAAAAUUCAGAGAACCUACUCAAUGCCGAAUUUACUAGAGUUUGAAAACCUACCACACCCAAGAGUACAAAAGGGAAGACGUGCCCACCGUGAAAGCUGAGAGCCAAUGGAGACAUUCAUCAGAAAUGGAGAGGCCAAUGAUGUUACUGGACCGAUAAGCUGCAAGAAGCUGGAACCCUGCCUAAUUCGGCAAAUAAAAUAAGAUUUAGGCCCAAAUCUAGUGCUAAGUGGUAACUAGUAUGAGAAUCAAAGUGAAAGACAAGUAGUAAAGAUAAUGGCAGCUUCCUAAAGUCAAGGCAGGGUCCGGAGAAAGAAAAGGACAGCAAAACCAUGCAGCAAGCAAAGCCAGUUCCUGAAACAGUGACAACUCAUGGAUUUUGUGCAAGUUGCCAACUUAAAAAAGGCAGGCCCUAGCCACACACAAAAGUUGUUUAUGGAGCGCGCAAUGCUAAUGCUACCGAGGGACAGGGACGGGCAAGCAAAGACUGGUGUACAAGAAAGGCGCAGCGCAUCGAUUGGAAACCCAGAUGGGUCAACAGAGGCUGAAGGUGACCAAUAAUAGAGCCAAAAAGUAUUAACAGAGGUCCAGAGUGCAGGUUGUGGAAAUAAAUAACAUGGUUUGGAGGGCUACUGCAGAGGGAGAGAGAAAUAAUGCUUACCAGGAGAAGAAGAAGAAACAUGAUCAGAAAAGUUGCCAACCAAAUCUAGCUUUCAGUGCAUCUGACCAGGCUCAUGACCACCAUCAUAGGUGCUCCCUUAGUGUCUGCAGAAUCUGGUCCCAAUCACUGCUCCUGCUCAUGCUCUUCACUUUCAGGGGUUAUAAUUGGGCCUCCAUGUGUCCACACCAUGCAUAAUUUUGUCGGUCCUUGUUUACUUGGCAUAUGCUCGUCUGAUUUGAUCCCACUGAGGGCUGUGUUUGCCGUUGGAGUUGGAGUUAAGUAUAUAUGCAUACCCCGCCAAGGCAUCAUUCUAUGUUGACAACCACUUCAAUGCAGGAAUAUAUCACAAGGUACUCAAGAUUAGCUUGAAAUGGAUCCAAACCUGCCCAUGAAUAGCCUGUUGCGGGUAUAUAACGAUUGGCGUAACAAACCAGCAAAGCUCUGCGUGCCUAGAAUCCGAUCCGAGAUCGACGGUAAGCAGUGUUUCCCCUAUUUCGCCGGUCUUUAUUCAGAGCUAAACAAGCACCAAACCUACAGGCUUUCAGAGGAUAGCAUUGUUCAGCCCUCGCUCAAUCCAUCAAAGCACUCCAUUGUAUUGUCUCUGUACUUUGACUGGUGCACAGCGUAUUGAUUUCCACACCAAUGCACAACUUUGUCGGUCCGUCUUUACUUAGCAGGUGCUCAUCUGAUUCGAUCCCACUGAGAGCCAUGUUUGGCGUUGGAGUUAAGUAUAUAUGCAUCUCCCACCAAGAAUAUCAUUCUAUGUUGAACUUGACAACCACUUCAAUGCCGGAAUAUCAGAACAUACUCAAGACAGUCUAAAAGGGAUUCAAACCAGCCCAUGAAUAGCCUGUUGCGGGUAUCGAUUGGCGUAGCAAAUCGGUAAAGCUUUGCGUGCUCCGAAUCCGGUCCGAGAUCAACAGUAAACAGUGUUUUCCCAGUUUCGCUGAUAGGGCUAAACAAGCAACUGACCUACUGCCUUUUGGAGGAUGCAAUUGUUCAGCCGUCGCUGGAUCCAUCAAAGCACUCCAUUGUAUUGUCUCUGUACUUUGACUGGUGCCCAGCGUAUUGAUUUUGACACAAAGCUGAAUUACACAGAAACAGUACCAGUACCAGAGACUCUGCUACAGAAUAAUCUAGCAACAUCAAACCCAUGCUACAAAGACUGACCCUGAUUGCUGGAUUGCUAUAUUUGUACUGAGAUAUUAACAAGAGAAGAAAGGUUUUCAUGACAGCUUGCAGCAUAACUGUUCCUGCUGGAUAAAGAUCAUACAGUAACUGGUAGGUCAUCUUCGCUUUUAGUUGACCAUCUGUGAGUUCCAACCGCUGAACAAUUUCCAGUUAACAUUACAAAGAUGCGUUGAGUGAGGGUUAUAAUCCCAUGAGUGUUGGUCCCUCUUAACAAAAAUGGGGUAAUCUGCAGCAAAAAAGUGUUAUGACUGUCAAAACGCACAGACUCUGGUGGUGGCUAUAACAGUAUAAACCUUCUCAUAAGUCUCCCAAAGGGCACAUGAUGAAUGCGGUAAUGCAAAAUGAGUAGUUGAAUGUGGAAACGAAAGUUGCGUAUACAUGUUACAGCUAUCGACGAUAAGUAGUUGUUUGAAAACAUAAUCAGCACGUGAGUUAAAAACUGCAGUAUUUCACAUUUCUGAUAUAAACAAUUGAGAGGGCUAUCCAAUAACCAUGGAGAAAAUCCAUUAUCCAAAACAAAUAAACUUAAAAUAACAGUGCACAAACAUGGUUCAGGCCUUCAGCACAUGUUUCGACAUGCUCACUUAUUGAGCACAAAUAAUCAAAUUUUGCAUGCACCACAAGGGAUACUCUUACUAGUUGCUUCACAGAAACAUCAGGUCCAUAAUAAAGCACAGAUUUAUGUUCUUCGCAGCGUUUUAUCCAUGUGAACAAGCAAUCUGACAUCUGAAAUGCAUAAGAUGUCAGAUUGCUUCUUUACAACGUACAUAGUACGCGGUGUAACAACAUACGCGUAACGUGGCCAGAAGCUAUCUCAAAUCAAAUGCCGACCUAAAUUGAUUGUCGACCCGGCUGGCGUGUGGUUUGGCGAUGAGCUAAGCGCGGAAUGAUCCAUUUCCCUCUCCAGAUGCUCGUGCUGAGUCUCGUCGACAUGGAAUAAAAUCGUUUCUUGGGUAUUGGGCUAGAAUAACCUCCCCUCGAUACAUCUUUACUACCUGGUGACGUGAUACUGAUAAAGAAAGAUCAGGGAGACGAGACAUGCAAACAAAGAGAUUGGAUUGGAUUGGAUGCACCCUGAAAUACAUGCUCAGAUUGUGAAAUCUGAACCGACCAAAUCACACAUGGCUUGGGUACGCCUCCACGUAUACAUCAAUUUACGCGCACAUUACUUUCUUCAGACGAGACAAGUAUAAAAUGGCCUGCUGCUAGAGUCAGUGGAUUGGCUAUGCACCGAGUGGGAAGAAACGGGGCUCCAGCAUGAUGCUGAUAGAUAGAUGGUCCAAAUGUUUGUCCAGGGCGAUGGAGAUGGCAAAACGUUCAUUCAAGCAAUCGAAAGAGAUUAUUUCACAACGUAAAUCGGGUGCGUCUUUGUCGGACUCCCAAUGGAUAGACACCAGGCAGAUGAUGAUGGAAACGUGGGGUGGUAUUGACUGGCCACGCUAAUUGCGACAUUCGACCAGCAAAGAGACGCUGUCGAACGGCGCGAUUCAGAGAGGCUUCUCAAAGCCAGGUUCAUUCAAAACCUACUAUACCCAGGAGUAGAAAAGGGAAGAUGCACCCACCGUAAGAGCUGAGAACUGGAACUCUACCUAAUUCAGCGAAUAAAAUAAGAUUUUAGGCCGAAGUCUAGUGUUAACUAUGGGGAUCAAAGUGCAAGACAAGUAAAGAUGGUGGUAGAUCCUAAAGUCAAGGCAGGGUCCGGAGAAAGAGACAGCAAAACCAUGCAAGCGACCAAAGCCAGCUCCUGAAGGAGUGGUAACUCGUGGAUUUUGUGGAAGUUGCCAACUUAAAAAGGGCAGGCCCUAGCCCAUAGCCACACACACAAGUCGUUUAUGAGCGGGCAACGCUACUCAGGGACAGGGACAGGCAAGCAAAGACUGGUGUACAAGAAAGACGCGUCAAUUGGAAAGAAAUCCAGAUGGGUCAAAGAGGCUGAAAGUGACAGAAGGGCAAGUAAAGCAUGUGCUGUUGGUGGCCAAUAAUAGAACCAAAAAAAGCAUUAAGAGAGGUUCAGAGUGCAAGUUGUGGAAAUAACAUGGUUUGGAAAUGCAUACCAGGAGAAUAAAAACAAACAGAAUCAGAGAAGGGUCGGGGGCCUUCGGUCUCCAUCUGUUGUAGUAUUUGCUUGACUUUUUCUGGGUAAGCCACUAGCACCCAUCCAAAUAUAGCUUUCAGUGCAUCUGACCACCAUCAUAGGUGCUCCCCUUAGUGUCUGCAGAAUCUGACCCCAAUCACCGCUCCUGUUCAUGCUCUUCACUUUCAGGGGUUAUAUAAUUGAGCAGCGGCCAGUUGGCCUCCCCCAUCUCACCUCCAUGCCGCCACACCAGUGCACAAUUUUGUCGGUCCUUCUUUACUUGGCACAUGUUCCGUCUGAUUCGAUCCCACUGAGAGCUGUGCUUGGUGUUGGAGUUAUAAGUAUAUAUGCACCCCCCACCAAGGCACCAUUCUAUGUUGACAACCACUUCAAUGCAGAAAUAUAUCACCAGGUACUCAAGAUUAGCCUGAAAGGGAUCCAAACCUGCCCAUGAAUAGCCUGUUGAGGGUUAUAUUGAUUGGCGUAACAAACCGGCAAAGCUCUGCGUGCUUAGAAUCCGGUCCGAGAUCAACGGUAAGCAGUGAUUCCCUGAUUUCGCUGCUAGAGCUAAACAAGCACCUACCCUACAGCCUUUUGGAGGAUGCCAUUGUUCAGCCAUCGCUCAAUCCAUCAUAGCACUCCAUUGCAUUGUUCCUGUGCUUUGACUGGUGCACAGCCUACUGAUUUUGACACAAAGCUACAUCACACAGAAACAAUAUCAGUACCAGAGACUCGCUACAGAAUAAUCUGACAACACACACAGACUGACUGUUAUCGCUGGAUUGCAAUAUUUGUGCUGACAUAUUAACAAGAGAAGAAAGGUUUCAUGCCAGCUUGCUGCAUAACUGUUCCUGCUAGAUAAAGAUCGUACAGUAACUGGUAGGCCAUCUUCGCUUAUAGUUGACCCUCUAUGAGUUCCAUCCGCUGAACAAUUGCCAGUGAGGAUUAUAAUCCCGUGUGCUGGUCUCGCUUAACAGAAAUGGGGCAAUCUGCGGCAAAAAAAGUGUUGUGACUGUCAAAAUGCAGACUGUGGUGGUGUAAUCAUGAGCUAUCAGUAUAAACCUUAGCAGGACUUCUAUUUUCUUCUGAAGCAAGGAAAUAGGCCUGAUCUUCCUUCUUCUAGUAAGUAUCCCAAAGGGCACAUGAUGAAUGUGGUAAUGCAAAAUGAGUAGUUCAAUGUGGAAACGGAAGUUGUGUAUACAUGUUACAGUUAUCUAAGACGACACACAAUUGUUUGUUUCAAAACAUAAUCAGCAUGUGAGUUAAACAAUGCAGUAUUUCACAUCUCUGAGAUAAAAAAUUAAGAGGGCUAUCCAAAUAACCAUGGUGAAAAUCCAUUAUCCAAAAAAAUAAACUUCAUAUAACAGUGCAAAGACAUGGUUCAGGUGUUCAGCACAUGUUUCGAAAUGCUCACUGAUUGAGCACAAAUAAUCAAAUUUUGCAUGCACCACAAGGGAUACUCUUUACUAGUUGCUUCACAGAAACAUCAGGUCCAUAACAAAGCACAGAUUUAUAUUCUUCACAGCGUUUUAAUCCAUGUAAACAAGCAAUCUGACAUCUGAAAUGCAAAAGAUGUGAAGAGAAGAAAAAAACAAUCAGGGUCACGUCUCAAUCAUACGGAACACAUUAUGUUAAUUAAGUUGAUACUAACAAACCUAAUAAUAUAGGAAGACCUCAAAACAAAGGACAAUAUCUAUCAGCAGCAAGUCUAUGAAUCCAUGUGCCUGUAAUAAUAUUUGUCCAGAUUCACAACCGAUCAUUAGAUCUAGUAAGAUGUGCAAUUACAUGUGAAGUCAUUUCUCAUUCUUAGACAUCUCAAACAACCUCUAGGGAUGUCCUGCUACUUGUUCAGUAAACAGACCACCCAAAAUACACAGUAAGCAAGCCACCUAAAUACACAGUAAACAAGCCACCUAAAAUACAUAAAUAACUGGACCGAUAAGGGAAUGAUACCGUCCAAGUCCAAUGGAGAUAACUGAAGUCACCAGCGACACGAGCAUCAGGACACAAUCACAUACAAUGAACACAGAUAAUCAUUGCCAACAAAUUCAGAAAUUAGAACACCAAUCAAUGUGCUAGAUCGAAGUCAAAUUCAAUAAUUGACAACAUCUGGAGCAUUUUACAGGUGCCUUCUGCCCGUUAAUGGAUGCGAAAACAACAAAUAAGACUGAUUGAGGUGCCAGCAUGUUAAUGCACUAAUCAUUACCGAUGGUCAGUUCAUGCAAGGGGGGAUAAUGCUGGUAACAGAUUUAAAACAUCCAACCAACCAAGAUAAUCUAGUGGUAUGGCUGUGUGAGUGUGACACAGUUUACGUUGCAGAACUCUCUAAAAUUAAGUAGCGGAACAGUAAUAAAUAUCCUUCUUCAAGCAGAAUCACAUGAGAUUGGGUGAAUAAUAGAGUUUCAGAUAAAUGAGUGCCUGACCAUUGUUUAUGAGUCAAACGUAGAAAGUCAUCCAAGCAGGAGAAGCAAACUCAACAUUACAUAUCUUAAUACAAAGCAGAACUGAUACUGUAACUUUUUGUUUUUGGAAUUAUAAGCUACACAACUGGAGUUAAUCCUCUCAAAUCCCUCAACCUAACCCCUACAUUCCAACUGAACCUGUGACCUUUCAUCAGCUGAGCUGCAACUUGAUUCCUGGGGACGCUUCAUAUUUGAAGAUGUGACAUUGGUGUUUACAGUUCUAUCUUUAAUAGCUAAGGUGCAAGAAACAUCCAUUGUGCAGAGGACUUACAUAGUUUGUUGUGUGCAAAUGGGCUCAUAUGUGAGCAUCAAGCAAUCAACUAAGAAGAUGCACCAGACGAACACAUCAUGGUUUUGCUUCUCAUGUAAAUCAGUACUCGAGCUAUACUGCCAGUGGAGUAUUCAAGUCGAAGCAUGGCCGUCCAAUUAAAGAGGAAAACUGAUCAUGGAAUUUCAGCAGAGGACACUUCUCAAUGAGAUUAAUAUCAUCGUAGGCCUCCUUGAGAAAGACGGUACUUCUUGCACCCUUGUUAGUGAUGUAGAAGAUCCCAUGAUUUUUUAUCAAACAAAGGAGUAGCUUGCAUGGCAGCCUGUACUCGUUAUGGAAGACUUCUAGCUUGUCAGAUGUCAGUCGUUUCUGCAUUAUCAAGCUUAAGACCUCAUGUAGAACAGCAACAGAUCGCUUCCGAGCCUGUGGAGUUGCAGGCUCCACUCGCCUAGCAUUCAAAUAAGGUGAAGGAAACGCCAUCUUCUGCCACCUGACUACCUCCUCAAGGUACUUCCGGUUGGGCCUAAAUCCAGCUGGAUACUUUAACUUGAAAGCAAAAGGACCCAGUAUAUUUCCAUCUUUAGGAACCCCUCUGUACUCCAUUUGGAAACCAUCAAAGUUCAAUUGUUCUUCUCGUGCUGUGACUGCUAGUGAAGAAUCCCAACUCUCCAGACACAGAUGGUCCAAUCCUCUCACAUCACGGAUUGAAAAAAAAUCAGGGUAACUUGGAAUCAACUUGUCCUUGAAGUUCUUUGGUAAACCCAAUUCAGGUUGGAUGAGCUCAAUCUUCUCUAAAGGGAUCUGGCAGUCCAUGGACAUCAUUAACAGCUUCCUCAGAUUUCUUACCAAGAUAGGUUCCAUUAGCUCCUGUGCUCGGAUCUCCUCACCAGAAAUAUUUCUGGCCUUCUCAGUAAGCAUGACAGCAAUGGGUUCACGCGAUGUACUUCCACCAGAGACACGGAAGAUAUUGGGGUGGCGCUCAAUCAGUGCAACAAAGUUCCAUUUUUGGACAAAGCCAACCUCCUUUUCCAGGUCACGUACAAGUAGUGAACCUGUCUUUUGGGCCAGGAUGAGCUCACGGAGACGGAGGAGGAGGGCGGGCUUCUUUUGGAGGUCCAUGGCCUUGUCGAGUCCAGGCUCGCGGUGAUAAAGCUUCUUCUUGGGACGGCGUCCAUGACCGGCAGCGAAUGAGGACAUUUCCUUGAAUUGUAUCAAGGAAAUCGAUCUGGAAAUGUACGGUAAAUGUUCUGCUAAUCUUCUCAUCGAAUUUACGUCUCAAAUGCAAGUCUGUGUAGGCAGUGUAGGUCCCGAGCAUUCAGGAGUGCAUAAAGAAGCAGNNNNNNNNNNNNNNNNNNNNNNNNNNNNNNNNNNNNNNNNNNNNNNNNNNNNNNNNNNNNNNNNNNNNNNNNNNNNNNNNNNNNNNNNNNNNNNNNNNNNNNNNNNNNNNNNNNNNNNNNNNNNNNNNNNNNNNNNNNNNNNNNNNNNNNNNNNNNNNNNNNNNNNNNNNNNNNNNNNNNNNNNNNNNNNNNNNNNNNNNNNNNNNNNNNNNNNNNNNNNNAAACCAUUUUAAACAACAUGAGCUUUGCAACUAAGGAAUAAAAUUCAUAAUACCAAAAGCCUGUAUCUCAAGUCUCAACUCUCAACAAUUCUCAUUUCAGAAGAACAACUCAUAGCAGCAGUGGCAGAAUGAAGAACAUUUUAUAGGGUGUACCACCUCCAACAACAAAAUACAGACAUCACACGCAUACCAUGAAAUUGACCAAAAGAGCAAUAUAAAUAGCUUAAUCAAGUCUCACAACAUUAGAGUUCACUAAAUAUGUUUGAAAAUUGCAAGCAUUACAACACAACUAGUUGGGCGAGAUGAAAUAGAUGGGUACAAAAUCCACAACAUUAAACUACUCUACGCUUUUGCAUUGCCAGAAAAGCGUCAGCUGCUUAUAUCAUACUGUAUCAUCUUCACUCACUCUCAGGAAUAUAGCCCACUCAAUAAAUGUCACCAAGCAGGCAAUUGAUGUUUCACGAGUUGCUCGUCCGUGCCGUUUAUCGGUUUAUUCUUCACUAGUACUCCAGUACCAACUACUAGCUCUGAAGACUGAAAUGAGACAGUACUGACUUCUACAAUCGCACUAGUUACCUCGAGCAGCUGUGUCGAUCUCGAUGCCCGACGGCGUUCGUGGGUCGUGUUCAGGUCCUCAGGACGUCACCGAGCGGAGCUCGCCGGCGGCAGUGGUACGGACAGAAGACCGCUCGUGCUCGGGGUCAGGCGGCGGCCGUGCGAGAGUGAGGAUGGCUCUACGGGUGAGGGGUACUGGGGAGCAACGAGCAAGGGGAGGCGUGGGCCGGGGCAGUCGUGGAGGCGGGAGGCGGGUCGCCGGGGCGGCCAGGUCAGGUCAGUUGUGGCGGCGGCGGCGUUUGGUUCAUUCGAUUCGAUGGCUCGAUCUCGAUGGAACAGCCGAGCAAGGCCACAGCACCGGUGAUGGGCUGGAUCAGCCAGCCCAGUCUGUGACUGGGUAGGCCGCCACAAACUCCACCGGAGAGUACAGUAAAGCUAAUACGGCAGUUACUAAAAAAAAAAGCUAAUACGGCAGGGCUAUAUCUCGCCCGUACCGAGAGCUCUUUUAUUUCGCCUCUGCGGCAAGGUUAGUGGCCGGAAAUAUUUUUUGGAUGAUAUAAAAUUUACACUUUAUAAUAUUUUUAAAAAUGCCAUGAUUUUUUCAGCAAAUGCCUCAAUAUUUUUCGAAUGUCAAGAAUAUGUUUUUUGAAUGAGAUCAACAUUUAUUAAAAGUAGCAUGCACAAUCUUUUACAUGGCCUGGUUGUCCUCGACGGCGGCCUUGUGUUGCGCGGCAGCAGCUUUCUUCUUGGCCUGAACGGUCCAUCAGGCCCUCAUCUUGGCCGAGACUAUGCCAAGCCGCGCGAUCUCCGCCAGUGUGAGCUCCGCCCGCGGUUUCUUCUUCUUUAUCGUCGUGGGGCGGACGGUGGCGGCGGCCGGGUCGACGGGUUUCUUCGGGGCGCCGGCCAUGAAGGAGGAAGGGGAGGGAGAGAGCGGGAGGGUUUGGCGGAAUGAGGGGUAAAGUGAGAGCGUUGUGUCCCCGACGGGCGGGCAAAGGGAGGACAAGGGCGCGCGUCCCCCACGUCCGGGCACUGUCCGUUUUGAUGCGAAUGCGGCCCAAAUUUGGGCCGGAAAUGCAUUGGCGGCUAUUUGUGUCUGUUUAGCCCCAAAGGGACGCGACCUCUGCUUGUCCAAAAUGUGUUUAAAUUCAAAUGAGUGGCCCCUUUGCUUGUCCCAAAAAAACAGGAUGAGUGUACACAGACAACUCAGCUCUCAGCCUGUCAGCACAAUGGCAGCGAAUCACGUGGCACCGGUAGGUGGCACAAGGCAAACGGAAUCCCGACAAGAGUACCACAUGGUCAAACUCAGAGACCUAUCAGUGACCCUUCCCCAUUUGAAGAUGGGCUAGAUUCACACACCACGAUCCAACUGCUUACGCCAACUCCACCGCACGACUCCAAAUCGUUCGGGGCUGUCCGUUUGAGGUAAAACGGACAUACGAGACGUCCCAACGCAUGAUCCCAUCCUAAAAAAACGUUCGUUUCUUGUCUGCCUCGGCCCAUUCUCGGAGCAAACUUGGUCUGGGUUUGGGUCUGAAACGGACACGCCCGGACGUCUUCUGCGUGGUCCUCGUCCGCCCCUGUCCCUUUGCAUGUGACCCCUGGCCCACCUGUCAUUGGAACCAUAUGGGCCCGGCUGCCCACCCACCUGUCCUUCUCUCUCUCCUUUUUCUCUCUCUCCCUCUCUCUUCUUUUGCAGCUGGCGGCCACCUCCAUGCGGCCACGACGGGGCGACGGGCGGCGGGGCACGGCUGCCGGCGUGGUGGUGGGCGACGGGCGGCGGGGCGAGGCGGGCGCNNNNNNNNNNNNNNNNNNNNNNNNNNNNNNNNNNNNNNNNNNNNNNNNNNNNNNNNNNNNNNNNNNNNNNNNNNNNNNNNNNNNNNNNNNNNNNNNNNNNNNNNNNNNNNNNNNNNNNNNNNNNNNNNNNNNNNNNNNNNNNNNNNNNNNNNNNNNNNNNNNNNNNNNNNNNNNNNNNNNNNNNNNNNNNNNNNNNNNNNNNNNNNNNNNNNNNNNNNNNNNNNNNNNNNNNNNNNNNNNNNNNNNNNNNNNNNNNNNNNNNNNNNNNNNNNNNNNNNNNNNNNNNNNNNNNNNNNNNNNNNNNNNNNNNNNNNNNNNNNNNNNNNNNNNNNNNNNNNNNNNNNNNNNNNNNNNNNNNNNGAGCGGGGCCACAGGGCGCAAGCGCGGCGUGGUGGAGGGGCCACAGGGCGGGGCGGCCGCAGGCGAGCGCGCGCACGAGUGGCCGCAGGUAGGGCGGGCGCGGGACACAGGUGGGGGACGAGGCGGACGUUUUGGGGUCGAGCUGCGCGUUGGGCGCCUCCGACUUAACCCGAACAUGCAUGUCUGUUUUGCCAAACGGACAGAAUCCGGACAAAACGAACGCCCGUUUGGGGUCGUGCGGUGGAGUUGGCCUUAAUGCUUAUACGUACAUGAAUGAUGAACAAAUUAUACACUACAACCGUACUCUACUAGACCAAGUUACGGACGUACAGUACGAACAAACAAACACACACACGAAGCACACAACGCUAAUUACACAUGCACACACCACCCACGUACUGUACACAGCAAGGCAACUCUGCUGCUACUGCUAGGAGUAAAAAGAAUCGGACGCAUCUGCUCAGCUCUGCUGCUAGGAUAAAUGAAAUGGAAUUGAAUGAAACAGGGGGGAUGCGUAUGCAAUGCAGCAAUGCAUCCCUAAUGCACCACCACCACUAUUCGUGGCUUUAUUCGAUGAUGAUGAUUCGAUCCAAAUCCAAUCAUGGCGCUCGCCGCACCGGCCGGCCGGCGGAAUUUUGUGCGCCGUGGUCUGGUGCAUACUCCGGUUGCACCAUUUCAUUGGCCUCCGGUGAACACACACGAGCCGUAGCCUGCAGAAACCAAACCGGUGAUGUUACUGUUGUCCCAUGGAUGGUAAAAACGUAUAGGAUGGUUAAUGAACUACUCCCUCCGUUCGUAAAUACAAGUCUUUUUGGAGAUUCCAAUAUAGACUACAUACGGAGCAAAAUGAGUAAAUCUACGCUCUAAAUAUGUCCAUAUACAUCCGUAUGUAGUUUGUAGUGGAAUCUUUAUAAAGACUUACGAUUUAGGAACGGAGGGAGUAGUACAAUGAUUGUGGUGGUAAUAUGCAGACGGCGGCAGCGAGCAAUUGUCAGUCAGUCGGCACAUGCAAUGGGCAAUGAGUGAAGUGAAUGGAACAGCGCAAGGAAAGCAGACGUCCUUUGGUUUGGUUUGGUUUGGUGGUACCAGUGCACGCACAUGUGCGCUUCAUCAGUGGAAUGUAAAAAUCAAUGGCGAACGAUUGAAGUUGAAGGGAGAGAUGGCGUGCUUACUUGGGUUGGUGGAGGUGAGGGUGGCGGACUGGCGGAAGUCGCAGUUCCACGGGUGGCUGCCGGCGGCCUGGUAGAGCUGGUUCAUGGCGUAGGCGGCGUGGGCGCGCACCGUGUUGGGCUGGAAGCAGGCGCCCCCGGGCUGGAUGGCGCCGCAGUCCACGCCCACCUGGGAGCACGCGUAGUCCAGGUCCGUCUGCAGCUGCGCGUCCGUCGCGCCCGCGCUCGCCACGCACCAUCCCGACCUCUUGCUCGGCGUCGUCGUUGGCGUGGUGGCCGUGCUGCCGCCGCCGGAGCCGGGCGAGGAGGAGGUGAGGCCGGCGUCGUAGGCCAUGGUGAGGUCGGUGUGGUAGAGUCCGAAGGCGCGCUCGGAGGCCGGGCCGGGCUUGAGGUCCUCGUCGUAGAGCGCAAACAGGUACGUGUCCACCGGCUUCCCCGGCAUGAGCGGCGUGCCGGCGCCGGACCGGAGGUGGGCGACGAGGUUGGAGACGUAGGCCCUGGCGUUGUCGACGGUGGCGCCUUGCUCCGUGGGGUCGCCCCUGGUGGGCCACCCGGUCUCCGCCACCACGAUGUCGACCGCGCCGUAGCCGGCGCGCCCCAGCGCGGACUUGACGGCGUCGACCUGCGCGUCGAACAUGUUGGUGUACGUGAUCUUGGAGCCGGCGUCGAGGCGGCCGGCGUUGGGGUGGAAGAGGCAGAAGGCGAGCGUGUCGGGGCGCGGGUCGGACUGGUACGCGAAGUAGGGGUAGGGGUUGACCAUGAAGGGCGCGCCGGUGCGGCUGAGGAAGCCCAGGAUCCCCUGCAGCUGGGCGGCGGCCUCCGGGCGGAAGGCGCCGGCGGAGGGCGGGUCGGACUGCGCGAGCACGGCCAUGGUGUUGACGGUGGAGAACUUGAUCCCCGCGGCUGGCCCGUCGCCGGCGGCGGCGCGGAGGUUCUGCAUGGCCGGGAGCAGCGCAGCGGCGAGCGCGGCGUCCCCGGACUCGAGCACCUCGUUGCCGACGGCGACGACGGAGAUGGUCGUGGCCGGGAGGAAGGGCAGCACGUUGGCGGCGAGCCAGCCGGUGGCGGCGUUGGGGUCGGCGGCGAUGGCGGGGAUGUCGCCGUUGGCCACGCCGAGCACGAGGGAGACGCCGGUGCCGGCGAGCGCGCGGAUGAGGCCCGCGUCGACGCCGUAGAGGCGGAGCUUGGUGAUGGCGGUGGACUUGAGCAGUCGCGCCGUCGCGUCCGGCGGCGGCAGGUUGUCCGCCACCUCGCCGUAGUUGACGCCGAUGUGCUGCGACUGCGCGUCUGCAGGAGCAAACCCAAAUCCAGACACGAAUCAAAGUCGGUAAAAUUGCUGCGCUUUAGGGGAGGAAAAGAAAGCUGGGUGGUGCGUCACUGGAUCCUUCCUAGGGACUCGAGAUGGGGAUUGCUCGAAAAGCGGGGACACUGGGCUUGCUUACCCGAUAUGGCCACGAAGCAGCAGAGGAGGACGGGCGCGAGGAGCAGGAGCUUUCUCGACUCGGCCUCCAUGGAUGGAUUCUUGCUCGGAUUUAGCUUUGGAUUGGUAGCGUCAGUCAGGGGCCGGAAAGCGAGAGGGGGGAGAGGGAGAGAGGAGCGGAGUGAGAGCGAGAGAGAGUGAAGCCGUUAGUUAAGACGGGGAAACGGAGGAGGCCGGCCAAAUCGAGCAAGAAUCGUAUGCGUGCGCGGCGUACGAGAGCACGGUAGCGGUGGCGGGUGGCGCCCGGCGUUGCGUUGCGUGGCGUGGGAGCGCGACCUCGCCUCGUGGCCGCGGAUGGAUUCCAGGCAAGGUAUUGGGUGUGGACGGGGGCUUGGGAUUUGGAGCGCGUGCCGAGCUCUGCGGUGGCCACGUGCGUGCGGCGCCGAGACGGACGGGUGGGGCGCGGCGGAGCGGAGCGGGCCACGGGCGACGACAUGGGUCGCGGCCGACGGUGGGUGGUGUUGAGAGCUGGGACGGCGAUAGUGCCGUCUGGUCCGCCUGCGCUUGCCCGUUGGACAGUGGGGCAUGGUGCGUUUGGUGGGUUUUCGGGUUAAUGUCGCCCGAUCAUCCAUGCGACAAUGGCUUCUGCACUGCGCCGUGCAAUAAUUCGUGUGCUGGCCUAGGUCAGUCAGCAAGGCCUCUUCUCUGUGAAUUUCAAAAAAUGUUCCACCAAUUCCAAAAAAUGUUGGACGAAAAUGUUCAUGAAUUCAAAACAUGUUUGCAAAAUCAUAAAAAUGUUCACGAGUUUUAACAUUGUUCAUGAUUUUAUAUAUGUUCAUGUGCUUAAUUUUUUUUAAUGAUUCUCAAAAGUUGGUCACGAUGUCCGAAAAAUAUGUAGUAGCUUGAAAAGGUGUCCAUAAAAAAGAAAAGGAAAGAAAAAACAAAAAAGAAAGACUAAAAAUGGAAGAAAAAUGAAAAAAAAAGGUUGAGGAAGAAAUCCGAAAAUGGGCCGGCCGAAAACCAGACUGAAGGCACGAGGGAUACAUGGUAGGUCGCUACACGCCGACUGAAGGCACGAGGGAUACAUGGUAGGUCGCUACACGCCAAAUAGGAAACCCCCACUACGGACGCACGGGCCCUUUUGCUAGUAAUUAAUUAUGAGGGGCCGAACUCCUAGGUUUUUAUUAGUGGCCGAACUCCUACUACUCCCUCCAUCACGGUUUAGAAGGCGCGCUUGGAAAUUCUCUGGGACCUAGGUGGUUAUCUAUUGGUUGUGAGAUGGGCUAAAAAAUAGCAUUCACACUACGCAUGCAUAUAGAAGGGAGUACUAAUUAGCUACUAGAAAUAAAUGCAAUGCGCCAUAAACCUUGUCUAUUGUGGAAACGCACGUAAAUUUAACUGUGCCUUCUAAACUGUGACGGAGGGAGUAGUUACUUUAUUUUUUUAGGGGUACUCAGUAGUUACGUUUAAUUUAUUUUGAGAACACUCAGUAGUUACGUACUCCCUCCAUUCCACAAUAUAGUGCCUAUAGAUUUUUAUGAAAGUCAAACGUUAUCAACUUUGACCAAGUGUAUAGAGAAAACUGUCUACAUCUACGAUAUUAAACAUGUACAUUCUGAAAAUAUAACUCAUAAUGUAUUCAAUGAUGUGCAUUUGGCAUUCUAGAUGUAUCUACUUUUCUCAAUAAAUAUGGUCAAAGUUUGUAAUGUUUGACUUUUGCAAAAAUCUAUAGGCACUACAUUAUGGAACGGAGGGAGUAUAUUAUUAUUUUUUGAGCAACACUCGGUAGUUUUUUUUUUGAGCAUAAACACUCGGUAGUUACGUAGAGAGAGGUGAUCGUGCCCGUGUGGGUGGGCUGUCUCGCUAGCUAUCUUAUCUCAUAGGCUGCAGGCUGGGCUUUUUUCUAGUGGUGCGCUAGGCUGGUUGGGCUUUCCUGGGUUGGUCCGAUGAAGAGAUCCUUGUCCGAGAGUUGGAUCGUUCCCCUUAAAAACAACAGAGAGAUCGAUCCGAGAGCGGAACGGGGAACGUUAGAAGAUACAUACAACCUGUGUUCUCCCCUCCGAAACCUAGCGUCGUCAAUCCUCUGCUCUCUCCCUCCAUAUGCCGGACCGGCGGACCCUAGGCGGCGGCGCAUCGAAACCCUAAACCCUAAACCCUCGCGUCCAAUUAAAUCUCGCUGCCGCGAAUUCCGUUCAGCUACUUCAAAGGUAAUGACGCGACACCAGUAUAUAUAUAUUCUCUGCUAAUAACUCAUUGACGUGUUCAUGCUCGAGGAAGCUUAUGUGGCUCGAUCGAAAGCUUCAGAUUUUCCUCUACCCGUUUCUUCUCUAGAAGAGAAGCAAAAUAAUCCGGCCGGCUUUGCGGGAUGAUUGUACCUGUUGGGGGCAAACCCUAGCCUGUCUCUCACACUCGGACAAAGGUGAAAGAUGAAAUAAAAAAAAAAUCCGACAACAAACACCACGCCACACGAACGGCCCCACUUUUCUCAACCUGGGCGCAUACCACCACUCGGCAAAACACCGUGACUCGGCAACACACCGACGCAAUACAUCAGUACACGGUGGGGUUUUUUAUACCCGGUUGCACACGCACAUACUAGCACACGCACGCACGCAAGACCUGGCCACCACUAGCACGUACACGUGCCCGACUGGCUGGCUAGCCCACGCACAGACUCGUGGUUUUUUUCUAACAGUACCGCGUCGAUCGGAAAAUUACAUUGAGCGGACUUGUAACUGGAGGUGAUGUUUUUGCUCGAUAUGUGUCCUCUUCGUCCAAGCAUGAUGCUAUCCUCUGCGAGACUGGGUUGUGGGCAAUUCUGCUUGAGGGAAGUUUUGGCGGCUCGUUGAGAGUGCGUGGAUCCUCGCUGUGUGGCCAUCCUCCGACGGCAACCAUUCUUGUUCUAGGUGGAACAACUCCAUCUUUCGACGGUGCGACGCUUAUCGAGCCAGGCGAGGUGGUUGUGGCCUCCUUUGGGAUGGAAUUGGAUGGUUGUGCCGUGCCGAGGUCCGUAGUUGUUGGUGACCACACUCCGUGUGAUGCCGGUCAUCCCUUCUCCUCUGUGACCAUCUGUUUUUCUUUUCCUUUUAAUGAAUAAACCUCGGUUAUAAACAUGUCCAACGAUCCACCUACGUUGCUCCAUCAUGUGUCUUUGCGGUGACUGGCCGAAAUUUGGACCGGUGGACCGGCGCCUAGCCCUAAAUGGUUAGUAGGGGGUAAAAAGCGCAAAUAAUCAGUUUUCUUAAAAUGUCUUCUGGCCUAAACGAACGAGACGAGCCGCGAGGCAGCGCCCAAUCAGAACCUCUUUCCAACCCCUCGUCGCCUCCUCGUCCUCUCCCUGCAACGACUUUUCUCCCCUCUUGUUCCAAACCCAAAUCGAGCCAAACCCCGACUUUCCAAAUCGCGCAGCUCGGCGAUCCGGGAGGAUCUGCGAGAAGCGGAGGCGCCGGCGCCGCCGGAGGCAGGCGGCGGUGGCGGCGAGGCCGUCAGCGGCGGCUGGGGUGUCUGCGAUGAUAACCCGGUCGAAGCUGGUGGAGCAGCUGCGCGACUACCNNNNNNNNNNNNNNNNNNNNNNNNNNNNNNNNNNNNNNNNNNNNNNNNNNNNNNNNNNNNNNNNNNNNNNNNNNNNNNNNNNNNNNNNNNNNNNNNNNNNNNNNNNNNNNNNNNNNNNNNNNNNNNNNNNNNNNNNNNNNNNNNNNNNNNNNNNNNNNNNNNNNNNNNNNNNNNNNNNNNNNNNNGGCCCCCUCUAAUAAUUUUAGGUUCGGAUGCAUGCCUACAGUUGAUUAAGGUGUAAUGCGAUUUGCUCUGACCUUGUAUUCGUGUGGAGCGAUUCGCUUAGCGGCUUAGUCAGCUGUGAAAUCGAUGUUGUGGCUGCGUGUGUUGAUGCCCGCAGGCAUUUCUUUCUAGUUGGUAACCUAGAUCCAGCAAAAAGCGUCGUACAACAGUUGUUAGAACAACAAUGCCUGCUACCUAGCGAUCCUUGUCAAGAUCUUUGCCGUGGCCUUUCUAAGUCAGUGUUGGUGGUUUUUUCUUCUUAUGAGUGCCUCGAUUGCACGUGUAGAGAGGAGUGUGCACUGUACUGCUUUCACCAUAUCAAAACCUGCAUGCAUGUGUAAUCCAAUUUCUGAAGGGUCGUGCUUUACUAAUUUUCGUCUUUGGGCGACCAGUUAGUGGUUGCCUGGUUCGAGGAACCGGAUGGUGAAUGAACCAUCAAAUCCUACGUCCAUUGUUUGGUCCGAGGAAUUGAACGUGUUAGUGCAUUUACUCUUCCUUCUUUGCAUAAACCAAGUACAAAAUGAAGGAUUGUGUCUCUAUUAAAUUUGGUAGACCAACCAUUGAUGGAUCAAGUGAUUCCUCAACAGGACACUCCACCUGUGCCUUCACAUGCUAUUCACCUAUAUCCAUCUCAGCUCUCAAAUGCAUCAUUUGGAAGAGUUUCAUAUCUCUUAGGCGGUUGUUAUGGCAAACUACUUGCUUGAUGUUUCCAUGAUGUAAAUGCUGUACCUAUGUUCGUAUCGAAUGCAUCAUUCAGAAGAGUUUCAUAUCUCUUAGGUGAUUGUUAUGGCAAACUAUACUCGCUUGAUGUUUCCAGAAUGUAAAUGUUGAACGAUGCUAGCUGACCAGUUUAUCUUGUUAUGAUAAGUUUCAUGCCGCACUAAAAGGCUGAUGAUUCAUGCAACUUUGUGGUGUGAUGUGUUAUUCUCCUGUAUUGAUCUGAAAUGAUUUCCUCUCACUGUUACCCCUCUCUCAGAUAUGCUUGCCUCUUUUUAUGAUCUGAUCUGAACAUGGUUCUGCUUUCUGAACUUCUGCAGGCGCGACCUUAUCGGAGCCAUCUCAUGGGGCUUGCUGUGUUGCCUCCUAAUAGUAUCCUCGUACAUGAUGCUAUACUUCAGGCACUUCUGGUUAUCAGCCGUCAUCAUCUCCGUCGGCAUCCUUCUUCCCGCCGGCCUGUAUAUUUUGAGGCAGAGAAAGCUGGCUAAGAAAAGAGAGCGGAGAUUAUUGUUGCCUCUCUCCAUGUAAGGUUAUCAUUACAUUGUAGUGGUAGGUUCCCCCCGAUUUUGCGGUUGUUCUUGACUAGACAGAAUCCGCAUUCCGGGCUUGCUUGGCACACAUCCAAACAGUUUGAUAGGCCUCUGCUGCCUAGUAUACGUCCACCAUAUUCUUUAGUCUUCACUAAAGUGCUGGAAGAAGUACACCAUCAAUUUUUGAUGCUCCAGUGUUGGGCGAAUGGAUACACCAGCUUGUGUGUUUCUGCUGCGGUUUGUUUUCCUCUUCUUCCUUUUUUCUUUUAAUGGUGCUUGCAGCCUGACAAGGUAUCUCGAUGUAUCCGACCGCCCCGAGUCACACUUUUGUAACUAAAGAAGAAUAGAUUGUUUUGUUGUUCUGAUGGAAUUUGUGAGCUUCAUGUCCUCUCCGGCCACCCUCAGUCAGUCAGUCCAGUUUGGUUUGGUUCCUGGAUCGAAGUGAUGACACUGGAUGUGGUGCUUUCGCAGAAUUGUAUCUGCACAAAUCAUAUAUCGAGCACUGUAGUGCUCCUGAAAUCCCUUUUGUCCCUGUAAUAUUUUACAUCAUAUGCUGCUUAAUAAUGGCAAUCGUUGGACAUUGGCGCUAUCUAUCUGGUGCUUCAGAAAGUAUUUUUCCUUUAUGCUUAUGUGCAGAGACUUUACCUGUUUGAAAAACUCUAGCAGGAAGUGAUCUGCAAUAUAUUCCAAUCCAUCCAGAUUACCUUGGAAGAGGAGACGGCUAUAUGCUGCUUUGUUGCUCUUUUAGUCUACUUCGGCUAUAUGGGAUCUAUGGCAAAUUGGCAAUUAUGUUCAGAGAUGCAAAAGAAAAUAAAUCAGAUGCAACUUGUUUGCUAGUCCUUUCUAGCAAAGAAGCUUGAAGGGCUCUUUGAUUCAAAGGAAUUUUAUAGGAUUACUGGAGGAUUGAAAUCCUUAGGAUUUUUUCCUAUGCUGGUCCUUUGAUUCAUAGGAUUGAAUCCCACAGGAUUUUUUCUAUGAAAUCUUUUGUACUACAUUUCAUAGGAAAUCUAACAUCCACUCCAACCUCUUUUUACAAUUCCUCUGUUUUUCCUGUGCCAUCAAACACUCAUGGCUAAUCCUAUAAGAUUCAAGUGGGCAUGCCACUUCAAUCUUAUACUUUUCCUAUUCCUACGUUUUCAAAAUCCUACGAACCAAAGAGGCCCUGAAUUGGAUCGUUGCAAAUGUACUUAAGCUAUAUGGGAUCUACGGCGAAUUGGCAAUUAUGUUCAGAGAUGCAAAAGAAAAUACAAGCGAUGGAAAAAGUAAUCGCGCCAGGUAGGGGUCGAACCUACGGCCUUCCGCUUAGGAAACGGACGCUCUAUCCACUGAGCUACAGGCGCUUUGAUGCCUUGCUUGUGAGGUACAACGUUUAUAUUUCAUGUUCUUUAGUGUGCAGCGCUUUGCCGGUACAGAUCAUGAGGAUGGCUGUUUCGUCUUCUUUUUCCCCCCUUGGUGGCAGCUGAAUAAGUGUGGAAUACUUAUUUAUGAACAUGCAUUCUCUUUUAUCUCUCUUUCGGUAUACACAUGCAAGCAACUAUCUACUCCGUCCGUUCCCAAAUAUAAGUCAUUUUAGAGAUUUCAACAAAGUACUAUAUACAGAGCAAAAUGAGUGAAUCUACACUCUAAAAUAUGUCUAUAUACAUCCGUAUGUUGUAGUCCAUUUGAAACCUCUAAAAAGAUAUCUAGGAACGGAGGGAGUAUUCUAAUCAAAAUGUCACGUUGCCGAGAUGGAGAGGGAUCAACCGACCAGCAAGAACACCAUAAUUAUUAUGAUUACCAAAUGUUCCACUGCAUGCGGAGGCAAAGGGAUCAAUCUGUUCUUGUUCUUCUCAACAUCUCUAUGGACAUCAGCAGGUUCAUCUGCAGCCUGACGAGAGGCUUCAGUAAACCUGAUCCUUCAGGUUUUGUCUUUCCUUAUGCCAGCCCAGUCUCAUUCACUCUGCUCCUCUUUGCUUUUUUCCUUCCGGAGGUCAAGGAAUGAUCUCUCGUACGAAAGAGGAGAGCAACUGUUUACCACAUGGUAUGUGUGGUAAGCAAUUUCAUACUCGAAAUGAUGCAGUUGAGUUAUGAGGCUUUAUUUAAGUGGUGAUCUACAUAAUAGAGAAUAGAAGUAGAUGAAAAAUACAAAACCAAAAAAAAAAAAGGAGUGCAGCUGUUUGGUUGCCAUCGUCUUCCGCGAGUCCAGGAAAUAAAAAAGGCAAGUUGAAAAAGUAGUCACCAAAGGUCCUAUGGUCUAGUGGUUAGGACAUUGGACUCUGAAUCCAGUAACCCGAGUUCAAGUCUCGGUAGGACCUCUUUUUUCGUUUAAUUUCUGUUUUGUACUUAACAUAUGGAGUUCCCUAGUUUUUUCAAGGAAAGGACUAUAUAUCAUAUCUUUAUUUAAUGACAAUUCCUCGUUUUUCUCUUCUCUAUGGGGUCUGUAAGUACUAUGUUUCAUAUAUUUUUUAAUGGGAAAACCUAUAUACUUCAUCCGUCUCAGAAUAUAAGGUGUAUUGAUUUUCAUGUAAGUCAACCAUUUAAAUGUUUGAACAAGAUUAUAGAAUAAAAUAACAACAUCUAGACUAUAUAUCAUAUCUUUAAUUAAUGACAAUUUCUCGUUUUUGUCUUCUCUAUAGGGUUUGUAAGGGCAUUUCUAACCGAUCCCUUAACCGGUUAGAGGAGUAAAAUUUAUGUUCUACUCCUUUAACCGACACCUGGCUGCUUCCUUAUCCACCGCAAGGGAGUAAACUUUUACCCAUCUCCCCAAUCCUCUCCCUAAAUUUACUCCGCCGAUUGGCGACUAAGNNNNNNNNNNNNNNNNNNNNNNNNNNNNNNNNNNNNNNNNNNNNNNNNNNNNNNNNNNNNNNNNNNNNNNNNNNNNNNNNNNNNNNNNNNNNNNNNNNNNNNNNNNNNNNNNNNNNNNNNNNNNNNNNNNNNNNNNNNNNNNNNNNNNNNNNNNNNNNNNNNNNNNNNNNNNNNNNNNNNNNNNNNNNNNNNNNNNNNNNNNNNNNNNNNNNNNNNNNNNNNNNNNNNNNNNNNNNNNNNNNNNNNNNNNNNNNNNNNNNNNNNNNNNNNNNNNNNNNNNNNNNNNNNNNNNNNNNNNNNNNNNNNNNNNNNNNNNNNNNNNNNNNNNNNNNNNNNNNGCGGCUGCACUUUCACCGACGCGACUCCCGACGCCCCCCUGUAGGCCCCGCCGCUACCUCGUUGCCUCCACUACCCUCCGUCGCCCUUCUGCCCGACGUCCAGCCCUUUCUGCCCCGGCCCCCGUCGCUGGAAUUAGGUGAACCGCCGUCGUCGUCGCCAUUGUUGUUGAUUCGUCGGAUUGUUUCUUUUCUUGUUCUUUUCUGUCGGCCGCCGCAUCUCACAUUGAUUGCACACCAUUGUAGGCCAUUCCCUCUCGUCGUCGCCGCCUUGUUUGGUCAGAACAACACCGGUCGGCCAGUGCACCACCACCGCACUGCAAGUGUUCGACGAAUUGGCUAGGUGAGUUUUUCGAUCGUGUCUUUGUGAACCGAGCCGUUUGGAUUGAACCAAGCCGUUUGAAUUGUAGAUGAAGAGGUUGAUGGAGAUGGCUCUAGAGGACUCAUCAUCAUCUGAAGAGGAAGAAGAUGACGAUUCUUCAGAUGACGAUGACUUUGACACUGUUUUAGGCAUGAUUUUCAAUGAUGAUGUUCGGCGACCGAGGAGAGGAUCACAUUUUGGCCGCAUACACAUCAACCAUGAUAGAGCGGAGGGUCAUGCGAAGAUCAUGAGAGACUACUUUGACACAAAGCCAACCUAUCCGGAGAAGUACAUUCGUCGGCGCUUUCGAAUGCACACAAGUCUUUUCUCACCAUUUGCAAAAGCCGUUGAGAGAUACGAUGAUUGGUUCAAGCUUCAGAGAAAUGCAUAUGGAGAGAUAAGUGCAAGCCCUCUAAUUAAAUGCAUUGCGGUUGUUCGAGUCUUGGCAUAUGGGUGUUCGGCCGAUGCAAUGGAUGACUAUGUCCGCAUUGGUGAAGACACAAUCUUGGAGUGUGUACGAAGAUUCACUAAAGCAGUGAUCGUUGUCUUUGGCCCGAAGUACUUGAGAGUACCCAUCGAGGAAGACACCCAGAGGCUGAUGGCUAAGAGUAAGAGGAUGGCCAGGGAUGCUUGGAUCGGUUGACUAUAUGCAUUGGACAUGGAAGAAUUAUCCUGUAGGGUGGAAGGUUCAGUACAAAGGCCACUACGACGAUCCAACGAUCAUUCUUGAGGCAGCUGCAUCGAAGGAUCUUUGGAUAUGACAUUCAUUCUUUGGUUUACCUGGCUCUCACAAUGACUUGAAUGUGUUGUCGAGAUCACCUUUUUUUUCUCGUCUUAUUAAAGAUGAAACUCCUACUUACAACUACUCGGUCAACGGGCACCCCUACUCAAUGGGUUACUACCUUGCGGAUGGCAUCUAUACAGCAUGAGUCACCUUGGUCAAAACAAUUCCGCGUCCAAAAUGUAACAAAAACAUUCACUUUGCCCAAUGUCAAGAAGCUGCUAGGAAAGAUGUUGAGAGAGCCUUCGGUGUGCUUCAGAAGCGUUUUGCAAUUGUUCGUGGCACUACCGAGUACUGGAACUCCAAGGUUCUAUGGCGGAUCAUGACUUAUUGCAUCAUCUUGCAUAACAUGAUCAUUGAAGACGAGAGAGAUAUGCUUGAGAACUUUCGGUACAUCACCAAUGGGACUCCGGUUGAGCCAGAGUAUGAUACGAACAUGAUCUUGGCAUUCCUUGAGGAGCAUCAACCGUCAAGUUCAUUCUCAGCUCCAACAAGAUCUUGCUGAGCAUCACUGACGAUGUCUUAGUGAUUCCUAGUUGUUCUAUCACAUGCUAAUUUGCUACAUUCGAACCAUUCAGCGUGUUUAAAUUUGAAUAAUCUGGAUUGUAAAUUUUGAAUUCGGUUUGUAAACUAUAUUGGUGAUUUGCAUGAACAUUCGAAUUUAUGUAUAGUUUCUAUAUGUACGCUAAUAUGUAGUUGCAAUUUAUACUAGAAAUGCAAAGUUCAGAAAAACAAAAUUUCACUCUGUUAAAUAUAGGGGAUCGGCUAGGUCCGGCCAAAACUUAGUGGACCGGGUAGAGUUGCCCUAAGUACUAUAUUUCAUAUUUCUUCAUGGAAAAACCUAUAUAUCAUAUCUGUAGAGGCAAUUAUUACCUUAAAUGUCUACGGAGGCAUCCUCAAACUUAGAUGUCCGAGACUUCUUGAAAUAUUACCUUGGGGUGUCUUUGGCAUCCCCAAUCUUUAGCUCCUGUAUCUCCUUUAUUCUUCUCAUAUGAUAGUCUCCCCUCAAUUUUAUAAACUCCAGUUACACAAAACUUCGCAACAACUUGUGAGAUACAUUAGUAUAAAUAAAUUCAAAACUUUUAACAUUCCUUGAUGUAACAAAUUAUUAUUUUUAUAGUAACAUCAAAUACUAAAUGUCUACAAAUUCCUAACAUAUUUAUCCCCAAAUAGAACAUUAAAGUAGCAAACAAUGCAACUAUAACAACAACCUGUCUAAACAAGACAAUCUGUAUAGGUGGAAUUCUUAACAUACUUCAGUAAAUCUAUAAAUUCUAAAAUAAUACCACGUAACAGAGAAAAUAAUUGCUUACAGUAUAAUUUUUUUAGCCUUUUAUCAUGUUUUAAAUAUCCAGGGAUAUUCAGGACAUCACAAGAAACUUUCUGUUUUUAAACAACAAGUCAUAAACUUGCAAACUGAGCAUGAUAAAGGCUAAACCUGGCACUUUGAUGAUAUCAAAUAUACAAAACACCGUCACUACAAUAGCAUUAAUCAUGUAAACACACAAAAAGCAAGAAGAUAAAUAUUUGGGUGUCUCCCAACAAGCGCUUUUUUAAUGCCUUUUAGCUAGGCAUGAAGGAUUGCUUCUCGUUUUCUCAUCAUCACUUUCUGAAAGUUCCCUCGGUGAGAAAGUUGCCCUUUUCUCUUAUAAUGUUAUCCUAAUCAUAACACUUCAAGGUAUGAAAUCAGUUUUUAGUUGACUAAUAAUAGGAUGCUCACUAAUCAUUUUUAGUUCAACUUCUCCUUAGAAGAUGAUGAAUUAGAUUGUUGUACCUUAGGAACAUAAAUAAACAUCAGACUUUUGUCUAUAGUGUAACUCCUAUUAACUUUUAUUGAAACAAUAGUUGUCCGCAAAGUGUCUAUCACUUCUGCUAACUUAUCUAUUCUUGAGGGUUGAUGAUCUAUUUUGUGUAGGUUGAAACUCUUGUUCUAAAUAUUUCAUUAUCUUAAGAGCCUCACCUACUGGGGAUCCAAGUGACAAUUAAUAUUGGAUCGGAGGGAGUAGCACCAUUAUGUAAAUUGUCAUAUUAUUCUCUAUGAUAUCCAAUCUCCUCACGAGGUGUUCAAGAGUAACUUUAGAUUCAUCGGUUGUUUAUUGGUGGUGAUCCUACUACACUUUCUAUAGCAUUAAAGGCAUCAAGAGUAUUGCUACUCAAAAAGCUACCUCCCAUUUUUUUAAUUUUUUUGGAUUAGUUUGAAUUACUCAAAAAGCUACCUCCCGUUAUAAUGUCAAGCAGGAAUCUAUUCCAUAAAGUUGCACCAAUGUAAAAAUUCCUAAUGAGCACCAUAGUAGAUUUUUAUGGAUUGUAUACCAAGAAUCUUUUAAACUUUCACCACCCCUUUGUUUAAAGUGAAGGGCUUCUAACUCAGGAGAAGUACCUGAAAUUGAAGAACUAGACAUGAUAUAACGAGCUAAAACAAAAAUUACUACUUGCUGCAAUUUUUGUGUGUGUGUGUUUUUAUGAUGUUAUUGAAAAAAGCAGAAAAGCAAAAUAAUAAGCAACAAAAAGUAACCAAGCAAAAUUCUGCAGCCUUGUUCAGAAAAUAAUGUUACAUAGGAGUAUUACCAAAGAAAGGAAAACUGCAUUUCACUCCAAGUGUGCACUAGUACCCCGGAAAUAUCUGCCGACGUGCCGCGUGAUUGGUCCACACCAGGCCCGGCGCGUCAGGACCGAUCGGGGCGGGGUUGGUGGCGGCGCGAGAAUCGAAAACCCUAGACGCUCCCCGUCCGAAAAUAUCUCCCCCCGCGCGAGCGAGUCAGGAGGGGCGACCCAAUCGUGCGUGGGCUGGCCCAGAAAGCCAGAGAGCCGCUCCUCGAGCCCAUCGCGCGAAAAUAUCUCGCCCCAGCCAGCCAGAUCGCCCGAUCCUUAUCCCGCGACGCGCCCGCGCGCCGUCCGAUCGGAUCACGACGGCCGGCGCGGCGCCGCGCGCGCUAUAAAAGGGGCGGGUAGGGCAACCUUGACUCCUCGUGCUUUCUCAGGGGUUGGCUUCUCCUCCCCACUCAGUCCUCGGUUCCCGGUCCGGUUCGGUUCCGUUCGGUUCGUUAGGGUUUAGUAGCGGGGAAGAGGAAGGCAUGGCGGACGUCGAGUACCGCUGCUUCGUGGGCGGCCUCGCCUGGGCCACCGACGACCAGUCCCUCCAGAACGCCUUCUCCAAGUACGGCGACGUCAUCGACUCCAAGGUACCGAUCCCCCGUCUCCUCCCCCGAUCCGCCCGAUAGAUCUCUAAAUUCGUAGGUGGAUCUGUGGUGUUGUGCUUGCGGAACCCUGGAUCUGACGGGUUUGGUGUGUUUUGGCGGUGCAGAUCAUCACUGACAGGGAGACGGGCCGUUCCCGCGGGUUCGGGUUCGUCACCUUCGCGUCGGACGAGGCGAUGCGCCAGGCGAUCGAGGCCAUGAACGGCCAGGACCUGGACGGCCGCAACAUCACCGUCAACGAGGCCCAGUCCCGCCGCUCCGGCGGAGGCGGCGGCGGCUUCGGCGGCGGCGGCGGCGGCGGCGGCUACGGCGGCCAGCGUCGUGAAGGAGGAGGCGGCGGCGGCUACGGCGGCGGCGGCGGUGGCUACGGAGGUGGCCGCAGCGGCGGCGGCGGUGGCUACGGCAGCCGUGAGGGCGGCGGCGGCUACGGCAGCGGCGGCGGCGGCGGCGGCUACGGCGGCAGCCGCGGCGGCUCCGGCGGCGGCAACUGGAGGGAGUGAAUGGUGGGGCCGCUCGCUGGCCAGUUAUCCUAGUUACCGAUCCUUUUUUUACCUGUCUACCAAAAGUGUUAUCGCUCGCCUCCCGAGUACCCUAGAUCUCGCUCCAUCGCGUAGGUUCCGAGAUGUUCUGGCUACCGUUAGAUGUGACGCCGCUACCGUUCCGUGUUACCUGUUCCGUCCCCGUUGGCUAUGAAUGAAAUGAAAAAUCAGAGCAAAGUUUGUUCGCAUAUGAUGCUUCUCGCGGAAGUGCAAGUUUGUUCCUUUUUCUGUUUGUGCCGUGAACGCUUUACCUUGCCGCUGGAUGAUAUUUUGCUGCACCCACUAGGGCCAUGUUUUGGUGCAGAUUCGGUAGCCCCUGAAUUCGAUUGGCA